rnacentral:rRNA from 1 species
AUUGAACGCUGGCGGCAGGCCUAACACAUGCAAGUCGGGCGAGCGGAGGACGGGUGAGUAAUGUAUGGGGAUCUGCCUGAUGGCGGGGGAUAACUACUGGAAACGGUAGCUAAUACCGCAUACCAUCAGAUGAACCCAUAUGGGAUUAGCUAGUAGGUGAGGGAACGGCUUAUAUAGGCGACGAUCCCUAGCUGGUCGGAGAGGAUGAUCAGCCACACUGGGACUGAGACACGGACCAGACUCUUACGGGAGGCAGCAGUGGGGAAUAUUGCACAAUGGGCGAAAGCCUGAUGCAGCCAUGCCGCGUGUAUGAAGAAGGGCUUCGGGUUGUAAAGUACUUUCAGUCGGGAGGCGUUACCGACAGAGGAAGCACCGGCUAACUCCGUGCCAGCAGCCGCGGUAAUAC